AAACUUUUGUGGGUCAUAGAUGGGAUGAUUGAGAGUUCAUGCUGUUAUUGUGUGAGAUGUGCUUCCCUCAAACCUUAUGGCACUGGCACAUUACCUGUCUGACG